GAUGAACGCUGGCGGCGUGCCUAAUACAUGCAAGUCGAGCGAACGGACGAGAAGCUUGCUUCUCUGAUGUUAGCGGCGGACGGGUGAGUAACACGUGGAUAACCUACCUAUAAGACUGGGAUAACUUCGGGAAACCGGAGCUAAUACCGGAUAAUAUUUUGAACCGCAUGGUUCAAAAGUGAAAGACGGUCUUGCUGUCACUUAUAGAUGGAUACGCGCUGCAUUAGCUAGUUGGUAAGGUAACGGCUUACCAAGGCAACGAUGCAUAGCCGACCUGAGAGGGUGAUCGGCCACACUGGAACUGAGACACGGUCCAGACUCCUACGGGAGGCAGCAGUAGGGAAUCUUCCGCAAUGGGCGAAAGCCUGACGGAGCAACGCCGCGUGAGUGAUGAAGGUCUUCGGAUCGUAAAACUCUGUUAUUAGGGAAGAACAUAUGUGUAAGUAACUGUGCGCAUCUUGACGGUACCUAAUCAGAAAGCCACGGCUAACUACGUG
rnacentral:rRNA from 1 species